rnacentral:rRNA from 1 species
GUAACGACUCUCGGCAACGGAUAUCUCGGCUCUCGCAUCGAUGAAGAACGCAGCGAAAUGCGAUACCUGGUGUGAAUUGCAGAAUCCCGUGAAUCAUCGAGUUUUUGAACGCAAGUUGCGCCCGAGUCCUUAGGGGCGAGGGCACGCCUGCCUGGGCGUCACG